rnacentral:rRNA from 1 species
GAUGAACGCUGGCGGCGUGCCUAAUACAUGCAAGUCGAGCGAAUGGAUUAAGAGCUUGCUCUUAUGAAGUUAGCGGCGGACGGGUGAGUAACACGUGGGUAACCUGCCCGUAAGACUGGGAUAACUCCGGGAAACCGGGGCUAAUACCGGAUAACAUUUUGAACCGCAUGGUUCGAAAUUGAAAGGCGGCUUCGGCUGUCACUUAUGGAUGGACCCGCGUCGCAUUAGCUAGUUGGUGAGGUAACGGAUCACCAAGGCAACGAGGCGUAGCCGACCUGAGAGGGUGAUCGGCCACACUGGGACUGAGACACGGCCCAGACUCCGACGGGAGGCAGCAGUAGGGAAUCUUCCGCAAUGGACGAAAGUCUGACGGAGCAACGCCGCGUGAGUGAUGAAGGCUUUCGGGUCGUAAAACUCUGUUGUUAGGGAAGAACAAGUGCUAGUUGAAUAAGCUGGCACCUUGACGGUACCUAACCAGAAAGCCACGGCUAACUACGUGCCAGCCGCCGCGGUAA